rnacentral:tRNA from 1 species
UGGUGAUUCAAUGGCAGAAUUCUCACCUUCCAUGUGGGAGACCUGGGUUCAUUUCCCAGCCA